ACCUCUAUUAUCCUUUUUAUCCCUACAUUUUCUAGCUUCAUAUUCUUUGAUCAUUUCUUCAUAUGACAAUAAUUUUCUUUCUUUUUUUUUUUAAGAUUUUAUUUAUUUAUUCAUAGAGAGAGAGAGGCAGAGACACAGGCAGAGGGAGAAGCAGGCAUCAUACAGAGAGCCUGAUGUGGGAUUCGAUCCAGGGUCUCCAGGAUCAUGCCCUGGGCUGCAGGCGGCACUAAACCGCUGCGCCACCAGGGCUGCCCGACGAUAAUUUUCUAAAAUAGUUUUCUGUAGAGAGAAUAAAAGAAAAUUCAUCCUUUUUUCUAGCAUGGUUGAUCAAAAUUUGUCUUUUUUUUGAUAAUCUUAUGGUUUUAUUAACACACAUAUGACACGCAUAUCAGCUGUCUAUUCAUUUUUUUCACUGUGCAGCCUGGCAUUAGGAUUGGUGAAUCUGAUGGCCACCUAGGCUGUUCCUCCCACAAUGGCUUUGCAGCUCAUGGAGGAGAGAGACAUUGUGAGCAGCACUUUAGGCUCCUUGGCCUCAUGGACUAGGAACUUCUGGAAGCCACUGGACAGCAUGCACUUUGCUUUCUUAUUGCUCACGUAACCACUGUUGGGCAUCAAGAUCUGGCCCUUGAAUCUUCUGUGCACCCUACAGCUAGUACCUCUGGGUUUCCACCACUUGUGCUUCAUUUUGACAUCUGACUGGUGCUGGAUGAACUUCUUGGUCCUCUUUUUAACAAUCGUGGGCUUUACCAGAGGUCUGAAGAUGGCCAUGAUGACAAGUUUAAUCGCUGUCCCAGUGACUUCUGCAUUAAGGAGAAGGCAAGAUAAAGGAUCCCUUACCAGGUGGAGAAAGAGGCUUUCUGAGUAGUGAAAGACUCUGAGAAGCCAGUGGGCCGUGUGGUCUGGGAGCGCUCGGCGCGGGCGGUGGUCGGAGCAGGGGCCACCUUGACGGACGCGGGGACGAUCGCUGUCGCGCAGCUGGCAGGGCCCGGAAACGCAGUGGGGACCAGAAAGCCCUUUCCGAAGACACGGAAGGCGGCGGAGGAGAGGAACGGCAGCGCCCCGGUCCCGGCGCAUUUGAGAAGGAAAAUGCUUGAGGUAACCCGUGUUGGCAGCUUUUAUAGCUUCCUCCCAGUAAAGUGCCGGCCGCCCCCGAACAGCCUCUGUUUUCUCUCCGUGU
rnacentral:lncRNA from 1 species